rnacentral:rRNA from 1 species
AUUGAACGCUGGCGGCAUGCUUUACACAUGCAAGUCGGACGGCAGCACAGAGACGCUUGCUUCUUGGGUGGCGAGUGGCGAACGGGUGAGUAACAUAUCGGAACGUACCGAGCAGUGGGGGAUAACUAAUCGAAAGAUUAGCUAAUACCGCAUAUCUUCUGAGGAAGAAAGCAGGGGACCAUUUGGCCUUGCGCUGUUUGAGCGGCCGAUAUCUGAUUAGCUAGUUGGUGGGGUAAAGGCCUACCAAGGCGACGAUCAGUGGCGGGUCUGAGAGGAUGAUCCGCCACACUGGGACUGAGACACGGCCCAGACUCCUACGGGAGGCAGCAGUGGGGAAUUUUGGACAAAGGGCGCAAGCCUGAUCCAGCCAUGCCGCGUGUCUGAAGAAGGCCUUCGGGUUGUAAAGGACUUUUGUCAGGGAAGAAAAGGGCGGGGUUAAUACCCCUGUCUGAUGACGGUACCUGAAGAAUAAGCACCGGCUAACUACGUG